rnacentral:tRNA from 1 species
GCCCUGGUAUUCCAAUUGGCAGAGAAUGACGGCUCAAACCCGUUAUGUUGUGGGUUCGAGUCCCACCCAGGGCA